GUGCCAGCCGCCGCGGUAAUAUCGGCAGCCCAAGUGAUGGCCGCUGUUAUUGGGCCUAAAGCGUCCGUAGCUGGCCGCACAAGUCCGUCGGGAAAUCCGCCCGCUCAACGGGCGGCCGUCCGGCGGAAACUGUUCGGCUUGGGGCCGGAGGACCCGAGGGGUACGUCCGGGGUAGGAGUGAAAUCCCAUAAUCCCGCACGGACCACCGAUGGCGAAAGCACUUCGAGAAAACGGAUCCGACAGUGAGGGACGAAAGCCAGGGUCUCCAACCGGAUUAGAUACCCGGGUAGUCC
rnacentral:rRNA from 1 species